AAUGGCCUAACGGCUGAACCAGCAAUUUGGAAGAAUGUAUAGUGAAAGCUAUUAAGACUGAGAAUUUCUCAGCCUUAAUAUCGAUUUAUUCGAAUAAAAUUCUAAGUGAAAUUUGAUAAUGACAUUUUUUGCUUAUGAGUCUUGACUAAGUUACGUGCCAGCAGUCGCGGUAAUACGUAAGAGACAAGUGUUAUUCAUCUUCAAUAGGUUUAAAGGGUACCUAGACAGUAAACUAAGCUGUAAAAGGGACUAGUUUUCUAGAGUUACUUUCGAGGGAGCUAUAAGGUACUAUUGGUGUAGAGAUGAAAUUCUUUGAUACCCUUAUUCGAGAGAAUAGUAACAUGGCACAGACUAAGGCUAAAGCCUCUCCUUAUGAGAUAACUGACGUUGAGGGACGAAGGCUCCAAAUAAUCAAAAGGAUUAGGUACCCAAGUAGUUGGUAGCAGACAAUGAUGAGUGCUAUAGAUUAGAUAAAUUUUUGUCUAUAAGCGAUAGCGUAAGCACUCCACCUCAAGAGUAAUUUGGCAACAUUGGAACUGAAAUCAUUAGACCGUUUCUGAAACCAGUAGUGAAGUAUGUUAUUUAAUUUGAUAAUCCACAAAAAACCUUACCACAGUUUACUUAAUAGUGUAUAACUUUAAGUUGAGACACAUGAAUAUUUAUUUAUAAAUAAAUACAAGCGUUGCACGGCUGUCUUCAGUUAAUGUCGUGAGACCUUGGUUAGUUCCAUAAAAUUAACGUAAACCCUUACUCUAUUUUAAAUAUAGAGUCGUUCUCCACUAUAUUGGAUAAGAUAACAGGGACCAAGACAAGUCAUCAUGGCCUUCAUGCG
rnacentral:rRNA from 1 species